rnacentral:rRNA from 1 species
UACGAAGGGGGCUAGCGUUGUUCGGAAUUACUGGGCGUAAAGGGCGCGUAGGCGGCCUCUUAAGUCGAACGUGAAAUCCCCGGGCUCAACCCGGGAACUGCGUCCGAUACUGGGGGGCUUGAAUCCGGGAGAGGGAUGUGGAAUUCCAGGUGUAGCGGCGAAAUGCGUAGAUAUCUGGAGGAACACCGGUGGCGAAGGCGGCAUCCUGGACCGGUAUUGACGCUGAGGCGCGAAAGCUAGGGGAGCAAACGGG